CACUCGGAAGGCCCUCUUCGAGGAGCUUUUAUGGGAGCACCGGGAGCUCGCUGAGGCACACGACAAGUGCCAAGUGAUCCCGGAAGCUUCCAUCGAUGCUCUCAAGGAGCAGCUCGCCACGGCCCAACGGGAGAAGGAUGAGCUCAGCCGGCAGCACCAGGAGGAGCUGAACGCCCUCAAGACCAGCUACCAGGAGCUCAAGUCUCAGUUGAUUCAGCUGGGGCUUGACCACGCCAAGGCCCUCAAGGCCGCUGAAGUGACCGCAGCGGCCAAGUUGG